rnacentral:rRNA from 1 species
UACGUAGGGAGCAAGCGUUGUCCGGAAUCAUUGGGCGUAAAGCGCGCGUAGGUGGCUUCGUAAGUCCGUUGUGAAAGUCAAAGGCUCAACCUUUGAAAGCCGAUGGAUACUGCGGAGCUAGAGUACGGAAGAGGCGAGUGGAAUUCCCAGUGUAGCGGUGAAAUGCGUAGAUAUUGGGAGGAACACCCAGUGGCGAAGGCGGGU